UUAAAUUGCCCAAAAUUUAGAUGUGAAAUGUGUUUGCAUACACGACUAGUAUAUAUAAACAUGUAUAUGUGCUUAUACAAAUAAUUAUGAUGUGUCCUAUUUGGUUAGGAGGGGAAAUAGAGUGAGGGCUUGCAGAUGUUACAUUUGAGGAGAUACCAAAAUCACGCUCUAAUGGGUCACACGCGGUGUUCCAGCAAGAGAAAAAGGGUAGCCGGGCAAACAUGAACAGGACAAAACAACUCAAGUACGUCAAGGCACACUGAUAAGGACAUUCUGGCCAAGCACAAGAAAAAAGAAAGAUGCGGCAAAGCAAGGGAAAAGACUAUUUUAUUUGAAGAAAUAUAAUACUUGCUAACCGAAAUUCAAAAACAAAAAGGCUUAUUGAGAAAUACAAGGAGCUCAAGGCAUUUAGGAAGCUAGAAUCUUAUAUUGAGAAAAGGAGUAGGAAGAAUGCUGCAAAGAACCAUAAAUACAUGCCGUAUCAAUGUUGAGCAACAAAACCAGUGACUUUUACCGAUUUCUAAAUACAUUCAAUAAAUAUUUUUCUAUGUAAUGAUGUUGUGAUAAUUUAAUGGUUUAGUUUAAAGUCAAUGUAAAACAACAUUUUUCUGUUGCAAGGAGAAAAUAAUGUCAGUGAUCCAAAUGC